GUUGCUUCUCAACUUUUUGGUCAAGAUCAAGUAUAAGAUCUGUUCUUAUCAAUUUAAUAUCUGAUCCAUCCUCUAUCUGAAGAGAUUAAAUGGAUUUUUGGAGCAGGGAGAUGCAAUAGGAGCUUGCUCCAACCCCACACAUGGACAUGGUAUUGCAGUACCUCCUGGAAUGCUGCGCCCUCC
ensembl:snRNA U2 U2 spliceosomal RNA